UACAAUUAACUUCAGUUGAGUUCUACCUUUCAUCAAUCAUGAAGAAGUUUCUGGUGAUUUUUGCAGUUUUCUUCGCACUGAUGGCGCUUACCAGUGCCAUGCCGCAGCAAGAAGUCGAGGAAGGUGAUGGUGGUGCGGUGGCAAUGCCUCGAGCUGGUAGCGGCUGCGAACCCGAGGAGUGCGCCAAGUUCUGCCACGAACACAAGUUUAAGAGUGGCUCGUGUGACGGUGACUGGUGCGUUUGCCAACCUUAAACGAUGUUUUAUAUCCAGACAAUAAAGUCUAUAUUGCACUGAGA